GAUGAAGAACGCAGCGAAAUGCGAUACGUAAUGUGAAUUGCAGAAUUCAGUGAAUCAUCGAGUCUUUGAACGCACAUUGCGCCCCCUGGUAUUCCGGGGGGCAUGCCUGUCCGAGCGUCAUUUCAACCCUCAUGCCCCUAGGGCGUGGUGUUGGGGAUCGGCCAAAGCCCGCGAGGGACGGCCGGCCCCUAAAUCUAGUGGCGGACCCGUCGUGGCCUCCUCUGCGAAGUAGUGAUAUUCCGCAUCGGAGAGCGAUGAGCCCCUGCCGUUAAACCCCCAACUUUCCAAGGUUGACCUCAGAUCAGGUAGGAAUACCCGCUGAACUUAAGCAUAUCAAUAAGCGGAGGA
rnacentral:misc_RNA from 1 species